rnacentral:lncRNA from 1 species
GACGUUAACCAGCAGGAGUUCGUCAGAGCUCUGGCAGCCUUCCUCAAAAAGUCUGGGAAGCUGAAAGACCUGAAUGGGUGGACACAAUCAAGCUGGCCAAACAUAAAGAGCUUGGCCCAUAUGAUGAGAACUGGUCUACACAUGAGCUGCUUCCACAGCACGGCACCUCUACCUCUGUGGUGGUGCAGGGGUUGGUUCCAUGACCAAGAUCUACGGAGGACCGCAGAGAAACGGUGUCAGGCCCAGCCACUUCAGCAGAGGCUCUAAGAGUGUGGCCCGCCGGGUCCUCCAAGCCCUGGAGGGACUGAAAAUGGUAGAAAAGGACCAAGAUGGGGGCUGCAAGCUAACACCUCAGGGACAGAGAUCUGGACAGGAUUGCUGGACAGGUGGCAGCUGCCAACAAGAAGCAUUAGAACAAAGGAUGCUGGUUUAAUAAAUCGCCUCAUUCAUUUAAAAAAAAAAAAACAAACUAAAUG